GGAAAGCUGUCGCCAGUUAUUUUUGUACAGAUUUUAAAGUUCACCGAACCCAGCUCUGGAAGUUGCAUGUUGUGUUUUUGGCUGGCAAUAUCAACAUACCAUAUGGAGAAGUCUCAGUUUGAGAUUUACAAUAUUGUUUGGAUUUGAUAUUGACGUAUUUUCAUUACUGAACCUGCCUUGAAUUGUAUGUCCUUUUCUUUUGAUGUAUGAUGGGUGAAACAAACCCAUAAAAACAAAGGAGCAAAACCUAAAGACAACAAAAGAAACGCACAGGGAAAUUCCUGUAUUGUUAAUUAGAUGUGAAAUUCAUUGACUUUUGCAUCCUGUCUUUAACAGCACCUACCAGACACGGUAGAUUCCAGACAAGAGGAAGAGGAAAGAAAUACUAUACUACUGUAGAUAUCACAGAUGCUGUUUCUCCAUCUGUUUGUCCCAUUAUUAUUGGACUGCUCCCCUGUUUUAGGGAUUUGCUGAGCUAGUGGGGUAAAGGGGGGAACAGUCUAAAGAUAGUCCUUACAUUUACUGGUAUAAUAAGAAAUGAAGGGCAACAGCUCCCACCUUCUAUGCUCUGAGAAGAUCCCUAGCAGAAAAUAAUCUGGAACAAAAACUUGGAAUGAAUGAAAGCAUAGAGGUUGAAGGGAGUGAAACAUACAGGGAACAGAAGAACCAGAGCUCCGAGAGACAUGGGAGCUGAAACCACUUUCUAGUUUUUCUACUUGUAAAAAUUUUCUCUUGUGAUGUUUUACACUUUUGCUGAAAUUAUGCCUUAUGUACUUUGAAAAGCUCAGGGCUUUUGCCACUCCAGACCACUGAUCACAGCUGCCAAAAGCAAGACUGUCAGGUAAUUAAAUGCCAUGCAGCUAAUCUGCUGACCUGAUCACAGUGCUUGGCAUUGGAGCCUGGGGACCCAAUCUAAGGCAAGGAGAACAACCAUGGCCUUUCAGAUCAGCCCAGCUAAUGCCUGAAUGGAGCUGCUGAGGAAGAGCAGGAAAAGUCAGAGGGGAUAAUAAUUAACCAUCGAUGGAAAGGAAACCACUGCAGCAAAGGAUGAUCCCACUGUACAACUAGUUGAACAAGUUGUCAUGACUUGCCAAAGAGAAUCCGUGGCAGAGCUAAGGUGUUAUCCUCCUGGAUCACCAUCCUUGCACCAGCACUAGCACUCUUCCCUGCCACAUCAAGCCGGGCAGCAUGAGAUCUGGAAGAUGAUUAAAGGAAAAUAAGGUCCUGGCUCUUCAGCUGGGCAUAUUUCCACAUCGUUCCUGGAGUGCAAAGAACCUAGUAGAUUACUUUAGCUAUUAGGCAAUGCUGUAGAAUCAGUGUCCCUGAUCUGGCACUUCACGAUGCUAUUGCUGCACCCCGAACAGCAAAACAAGCAUCAAAG